AAGAUAAAAAUCUCGUAGUUAGAUCUGAGUCACAUGCAGUGGUUCGCCUUUGGCACUUAUCGCUAUUGUGACUAUUUGCUGCUUUUCUAUUAAUGUUUCGGCCUUUUUAAUGGCUAACGAGUUUACUUUGAAUAAAAAAUUGAAGUGCUCAGAACAGGCAUUUGCCUGAAUGCUCGAUCAUGGAACAAUAAAAGAGGCUUCGGUUCUACUUAAUGGUUCAGAAACUGAAAAAUGGCUAAGAGGGACGAUUGGGGGGAUUCGCAUCCCUGCGCGACAGGUGAAAUCCGUGGACCACAUGGUGACGCCCUGAAGUGAAAGCAUUUGAUAAGCAAUGUCUCUUCAUUAAUCAAGAACGAAAGUCAGAGGUUCAAAGGCGAUUAGAGCGAUUAGAUACCGCUCUGCCCUAGUCCUAACCUAAACUGUGCCGUCUCGUGAUGCGACGGGAUAUUUUUGCAUUGUCGAGGAGCUUCCCGUAAACGAAAGUCUUUCGGUUCCU
rnacentral:ncRNA from 1 species